rfam:Erinaceus europaeus unplaced genomic scaffold scaffold00427, whole genome shotgun sequence
GCUCCCCCUCUCUAAUCCUUGCUCCCUGGGUGAGGAUGCUUUCUGGAUGCAAUGCACCUGGGCAAGGAUUCCAGAAGAGGAGC